GAUGAACGCUGGCGGCGUGCCUAAUACAUGCAAGUCGAGCGAACGGACGAGAAGCUUGCUUCUCUGAUGUUAGCGGCGGACGGGUGAGUAACACGUGGAUAACCUACCUAUAAGACUGGGAUAACUUCGGGAAACCGGAGCUAAUACCGGAUAAUAUUUUGAACCGCAUGGUUCAAAAGUGAAAGACGGUCUUGCUGUCACUUAUAGAUGGAUCCGCGCUGCAUUAGCUAGUUGGUAAGGUAACGGCUUACCAAGGCAACGAUGCAUAGCCGACCUGAGAGGGUGAUCGGCCACACUGGAACUGAGACACGGUCCAGACUCCUACGGGAGGCAGCAGUAGGGAAUCUUCCGCAAUGGGCGAAAGCCUGACGGAGCAACGCCGCGUGAGUGAUGAAGGUCUUCGGAUCGUAAAACUCUGUUAUUAGGGAAGAACAUAUGUGUAAGUAACUGUGCACAUCUUGACGGUACCUAAUCAGAAAGCCACGGCUAACUACGUGCCAGCAGCCGCGGUAAUACGUAGGUGGCAAGCGUUAUCCGGAAUUAUUGGGCGUAAAGCGCGCGUAGGCGGUUUUUUAAGUCUGAUGUGAAAGCCCACGGCUCAACCGUGGAGGGUCAUUGGAAACUGGAAAACUUGAGUGCAGAAGAGGAAAGUGGAAUCCCAUGUGUAGCGGUGAAAUGCGCAGAGAUAUGGAGGAACACCAGUGGCGAAGGCGACUUUCUGGUCUGUAACUGACGCUGAUGUGCGAAAGCGUGGGGAUCAAACAGGAUUAGAUACCCUGGUAGUCCACGCCGUAAACGAUGAGUGCUAAGUGUUAGGGGGUUUCCGCCCCUUAGUGCUGCAGCUAACGCAUUAAGCACUCCGCCUGGGGAGUACGACCGCAAGGUUGAAACUCAAAGGAAUUGACGGGGACCCGCACAAGCGGUGGAGCAUGUGGUUUAAUUCGAAGCAACGCGAAGAACCUUACCAAAUCUUGACAUCCUUUGACAACUCUAGAGAUAGAGCUUUCCCCUUCGGGGGACAAAGUGACAGGUGGUGCAUGGUUGUCGUCAGCUCGUGUCGUGAGAUGUUGGGUUAAGUCCCGCAACGAGCGCAACCCUUAAGCUUAGUUGCCAUCAUUAAGUUGGGCACUCUAAGUUGACUGCCGGUGACAAACCGGAGGAAGGUGGGGAUGACGUCAAAUCAUCAUGCCCCUUAUGAUUUGGGCUACACACGUGCUACAAUGGACAAUACAAAGGGCAGCGAAACCGCGAGGUCAAGCAAAUCCCAUAAAGUUGUUCUCAGUUCGGAUUGUAGUCUGCCACUCGACUACAUGAAACUGGGAUCGCCUGUAAUCGUAGAUCACCCUGCUACGGUGAAUACUUUCCCGGGUCU
rnacentral:rRNA from 1 species